AGAAAGCAUCACCUCAGAGACUGAAACUGACAGGCAUUUGGCAGCUGCUGAACCUCUCUCAGCAACAUGUGCCAUCUUUGAGGUGGUGUCAGCACAGCAGUCGAGCAAAGCUGUGCAGGAGCUGCUCCCAGAGCUGUUUCCUGUUCUCCUGCAGCAGGUCAGCCGAACCUCAGGACAAAAGAUGCCUUUGCCAAGGAUAAGCAGCUGGAGCCUAUUCCAAAAAGACCAACAACAUACUGAGGGCAACCCUUGCCGUUCUGUGCCUCUCUUUCCCCAGGUUUUCUGUCCAAG